GAGAAGUUUCACCAAACUCGCUGACAAUCACUGACACUGAAGAGACAAAACAGCUGACUUUCACAUUUCAGCUCCACGGCAAGAACGAUCACAACGCCGCUCUGAACGUUUCCAUCGUCAUAACAGUGAAGGCUGAUCACACUGACUUCAAGAUCAGCCAUAUCAAACCCAAGG